UACGAAGGGGGCUAGCGUUGUUCGGAAUCACUGGGCGUAAAGCGCACGUAGGCGGAUCUUUAAGUCAGAGGUGAAAUCCCAAGGCUCAACCUUGGAACUGCCUUUGAUACUGGGGAUCUUGAGUCCGGGAGAGGUGAGUGGAACUGCGAGUGUAGAGGUGAAAUUCGUAGAUAUUCGCAAGAACACCAGGUGGCGAAGGCGGCUCACUGGCCCGGUACUGACGCUGAGGUGCGAAAGCUAGGGGAGCGAACGGG
rnacentral:rRNA from 1 species